rnacentral:rRNA from 1 species
AAUCAACGCUGGCGGCGUGCCUCAGACAUGCAAGUCGAACGAUUAAAGCUCUCUUCGGAGAGUGCAUAGAGUGGCGCACGGGUGAGUAACACGUAAGUAAUCUACCUUCGAGUGGGGAAUAACGUCCGGAAACGGACGCUAAUACCGCAUAAUGCAGCGGCAUCGCAAGAUGACAGUUGUUAAAGGAGCAAUUCGCUUGAAGAGGAGCUUGCGGCAGAUUAGCUAGUUGGUAAGGUAAUGGCUUACCAAGGCUACGAUCUGUAACCGGUCUAAGAGGACGGUCGGUCACACUGACACUGAAUAACGGGUCAGACUCCUACGGAGGCAGCAGUCGGGAAUUUUGGGCAAUGGCGAAAGCCUGACCCAGCAACGCCGCGUGAAGGAUGAAGUAUUUCGGUAUGUAAACUUCGAAAGAAUGGGAAGAAUAAAUGACGGUACCAUUUAUAAGGUCCGGCUAACUACGUGCCAGCAGCCGCCGUAAC